UUAUUGGAGAGUUUGAUCCUGGCUCAGGACGAACGCUGGCGGCAUGCCUAAUACAUGCAAGUCGAGCGGACUUGAAGAGAAGCUUGCUUCUCGGAUAGUUAGCGGCGGACGGGUGAGUAACACGUAGGCAACCUGCCCUCAAGUUUGGGACAACUACCGGAAACGGUAGCUAAUACCGAAUA
rnacentral:rRNA from 1 species